GGUUCUAUAUGCAGCAGCAUCUAUUCACGGCCUCGAAAGUGGUGCAGCGCAAGGACCGCCAGGACAACUAUUGUAGUGUGGCAUCGUUGUUUCUUCCACAGAAUACCUCCGAGAUCCUUAUAACAAUAUCUUAUGGACUGCUUGGAAAUUCCAUCGGAUUAUGUUUUCUCAUAUACGGCCUAGAGGAGCUGACUGCUUUCUCAUAGUGCUGUAAUGGUUAAUGACGCACACCUGCAAUUGAUAUUCUAUUCCUUUUGUCCAAUUUCCUGUGAUUGUUAUUAAGGUCCAGAUUGACGUUCUACUCUAUCUACUUGUGUCUUUUGAUAUGGCAGACUCUACAAAACUGGGGGCAAAAUUGAGCUCAAAGAUGUGAAACUAAUGUUAUCUGGUUAAUGCAUGUUAUCUAACAAAAGAUAAUGUCAAAGAGACAGAUAUCUUACCAGAAAUUCAAUUGUUGCACUAAUGAUAUAGAUGUAAUAGGUGGAGAAGAAAUCAGAUGAGAAUCCGCCAAGUAGAGCAAGGAGGAAAGAAGUUCCCAUAAAGUUUGUGACUAUGUUGGCUGAAGCAGAUGGAGAAAAAUUCAUGAACUUCGAUAGAUAAAGGACUAGAUUGCUCACAUUUGCCAGCUGUAGCAUUUAUGAAGAGAGAUGUGGUUUACAGACCCAAUACAAAGGAGGCCGCAGCAGCUCCGCCAUGACAUCCUUUAAUGGCUACUCUGUUUCUCCAGUCCACAUAGCCUUCCCACAUGGUGAAACCCUGCUCAUGAUCCUGCAGUAUAGUGCACAUAAAUUAAGUAAAGAUUUGCUGGAGGGAACAUUAAAAAAAAGGAUAUGAGAGCUUGAAUGUGCACCAUCUGUGUGUGUGUGUGUGUAAUGUUUUCGAAAUCUUGAAGUAGAAGUCCCAAGUUAAAAGUUGUCCAGUCUAACAAGGAAGCUACACCAGUGUCACCUUUAAAUACUGGAAGGACGAGGAUGUUCAAAUUGUGUGGAAAAAUCUGGAUCUCUGAUUUUGACCCUGCACUAAAGGUGUGUUUGGUAGAAAGGAAAAUGUUUUCUUAGAAAAUAAGUGGGUUUCUUACUUAUUUUCUAGUAUUUGGUAAGCAGAAAUAUUGUCCAAAAUAUUUUGAAUAAUCUAGACAAAAACUGACAGUGAGGGUGGAGUGUAGGAAAGUGGGGAUGGGGUCUAUGAGGUGGAGUAUGUUAAAGGUUAGGGAGGAGACAAUUAAUGUGGAAUGAGGGGAGAAAAAAAAAAGUGGUGAGUGUUUGUUCUUUACUAUUUUCAGAAUGGUAUUGGUUACAUAGUUGACAUGGAAUAAGUUACUGUAUAUUGAAUUUAGUUGCUUGGUUCAUUUUAGUUCUUUUACUGCCGACUUUUU